CGUUCCCAGGCCUUGUACACACCGCCCGUCACAUCAUGAAAAGCCGCUUGUACCCGAAGUCGCCCCUCAAAAGGUGCCGAAGGUAUGGGUGGUGAUUGGGAUG
rnacentral:rRNA from 1 species